rnacentral:rRNA from 1 species
GACGAACGCUGGCGGCGUGCUUAACACAUGCAAGUCGAACGGAAAGGCCCUGCUUUUGUGGGGUGCUCGAGUGGCGAACGGGUGAGUAACACGUGAGUAACCUGCCCUUGACUUUGGGAUAACUUCAGGAAACUGGGGCUAAUACCGGAUAGGAGCUCCUGCUGCAUGGUGGGGGUUGGAAAGUUUCGGCGGUUGGGGAUGGACUCGCGGCUUAUCAGCUUGUUGGUGGGGUAGUGGCUUACCAAGGCUUUGACGGGUAGCCGGCCUGAGAGGGUGACCGGCCACAUGGGGACUGAGAUACGCACCAGAGUCCUACGGUAGGCAGUGGUGGGAAACAUUGCACAAUGGGCGCGAGCCUGAUGCAGUAACGCCGCGUGCGUGAUGACGGCCUUCUGGUUGUAAACCGCAUUCGCCUAUGACGAAGCGUGAGUGACGGUAAUGGGUAAAUAAGCACCGGCUAACUACGUG